UACGUAGGGGGCUAGCGUUGUCCGGAAUCAUUGGGCGUAAAGCGCGCGUAGGCGGCAUUGCAAGUCGGAUGUGAAAUCCCUCGGCUUAACCAAGGAAGUGCAUCCGAAACUGCAGUGCUUGAGUACUUAAGAGGAUCGCGGAAUUCCCGGUGUAGAGGUGAAAUUCGUAGAUAUCGGGAGGAACACCAGUGGCGAAGGCGGCGAUCUGGGAAGAUACUGACGCUGAGACGCGAAAGCGUGGGGAGCGAACAGG
rnacentral:rRNA from 1 species